CCUGUGCUACUUAUAUGUAGCGCUCAUGUGAUGCAAGUUUGAAACAGUGGGCUUAAAUGCAUUAUAUUGUCAUUUCUAGGGUUCUAUUCUUCAUUUUAAUGAUUAUUAAUGUUCCCUAGGGCUCAAUCAUCACAAUUAUAAUUAUAG